rnacentral:misc_RNA from 1 species
GAUGAAGAACGCAGCGAAAUGCGAUAAGUAGUGUGAAUUGCAGAAUUCAGUGAAUCAUCGAAUCUUUGAACGCACAUUGCGCCCCUUGGUAUUCCAUGGGGCAUGCCUGUUCGAGCGUCAUUUGUACUUUCAAGCUCUGCUUGGUGUUGGGUGUUUGUCUCGCCUCUGCGUGUAGACUCGCCUCAAAACAAUUGGCAGCCGGCGUAUUGAUUUCGGAGCGCAGUACAUCUCGCGCUUUGCACUCAUAACGACGACGUCCAAAAGUACAUUUUUACACUCUUGACCUCGGAUCAGGUAGGGAUACCCGCUGAACUUAAGCAUAUCAAUAAGCGGAGGA